rnacentral:rRNA from 1 species
GACGGGUGAGUAAUGCCUAGGAAAUUGCCUUGAUGUGGGGGAUAACCAUUGGAAACGAUGGCUAAUACCGCAUAAUGCCUACGGGCCAAAGAGGGGGACCUUCGGGCCUCUCGCGUCAAGAUAUGCCUAGGUGGGAUUAGCUAGUUGGUGAGGUAAUGGCUCACCAAGGCGACGAUCCCUAGCUGGUCUGAGAGGAUGAUCAGCCACACUGGAACUGAGACACGGUCCAGACUCCUACGGGAGGCAGCAGUGGGGAAUAUUGCACAAUGGGCGAAAGCCUGAUGCAGCCAUGCCGCGUGUAUGAAGAAGGCCUUCGGGUUGUAAAGUACUUUCAGUUGUGAGGAAGGGGGUGUUGUUAAUAGCAACAUCUCUUGACGUUAGCAACAGAAGAAGCACCGGCUAACUCCGUGCCAGCAGCCGCGGUAAUACGGAGGGUGCGAGCGUUAAUCGGAAUUACUGGGCGUAAAGCGCAUGCAGGUGGUUCAUUAAGUCAGAUGUGA